rnacentral:rRNA from 1 species
AGUGAACGCUGGCGGUAGGCCUAACACAUGCAAGUCGAACGGCAGCACAGUAAGAGCUUGCUCUUACGGGUGGCGAGUGGCGGACGGGUGAGGAAUACAUCGGAAUCUACUUUUUCGUGGGGGAUAACGUAGGGAAACUUACGCUAAUACCGCAUACGACCUACGGGUGAAAGCAGGGGAUCUUCGGACCUUGCGCGAUUGAAUGAGCCGAUGUCGGAUUAGCUAGUUGGCGGGGUAAAGGCCCACCAAGGCGACGAUCCGUAGCUGGUCUGAGAGGAUGAUCAGCCACACUGGAACUGAGACACGGUCCAGACUCCUACGGGAGGCAGCAGUGGGGAAUUUUGGACAAUGGGCGCAAGCCUGAUCCAGCCCUACCGCGUGGGUGAAGAAGGCCUUCGGGUUGUAAAGCCCUUUUGUUGGGAAAGAAAAGCAGCAGGUUAAUACCCCGCUGUUCUGACGGUACCCAAAGAAUAAGCACCGGCUAACUUCGUG